rnacentral:rRNA from 1 species
AACGAACGCUGGCGGCAUGCCUAACACAUGCAAGUCGAACGAAGGCUUCGGCCUUAGUGGCGCACGGGUGCGUAACGCGUGGGAAUCUGCCCUUUGGUUCGGAAUAACAGCUGGAAACGGCUGCUAAUACCGGAUGAUGACGAAAGUCCAAAGAUUUAUCGCCAGAGGAUGAGCCCGCGUGGGAUUAGGUAGUUGGUGGGGUAAAGGCCUACCAAGCCGACGAUCCAUAGCUGGUCUGAGAGGAUGAUCAGCCACACUGGGACUGAGACACGGCCCAGACUCCUACGGGAGGCAGCAGUGGGGAAUAUUGGACAAUGGGCGCAAGCCUGAUCCAGCAAUGCCGCGUGAGUGAUGAAGGCCCAAGGGUUGUAAAGCUCUUUUACCCGGGAAGAUAAUGACUGUACCGGGAGAAUAAGCCCCGGCUAACUCCGUG